UACGAAGGGGGCUAGCGUUGCUCGGAAUCACUGGGCGUACAGGGCGCGUAGGCGGCCUACUAAGUCGGACGUGAAAUCCCUCGGCUCAACCGGGGAACUGCGUCCGAUACUGGUGGGCUCGAAUCCGGGAGAGGGAUGUGGAAUUCCAGGUGUAGCGGUGAAAUGCGUAGAUAUCAGGAGGAACACCGGUGGCGAAGGCGGUUCUCUGGGCAUGUCCUGACGCUGAGGAGCGAAAGUGUGGGGAGCGAACAGG
rnacentral:rRNA from 1 species